GUGCUCGCUUCAGCAGCACAUAUACUAAAAUUGGAAUGAUGCAGAGAGGAUUAGCAUGGCCCUGAGCAAGGAUGACACACAAAUUCAUGAAGCGUUCCAUAUUUUU
ensembl:snRNA U6 U6 spliceosomal RNA